rnacentral:rRNA from 1 species
UUAUUAGUGUCGUCCGAGUUCAAAACAAAUAAGUAAAAACUUUCAACAACGGAUCUCUUGGUUCCAGCAUCGAUGAAGAACGCAGCGAAAUGCGAUAAGUAAUGUGAAUUGCAGAAUUCAGUGAAUCAUCGAAUCUUUGAACGCACAUUGCGCC